rnacentral:rRNA from 1 species
AACGAACGCUGGCGGCAGGCCUAACACAUGCAAGUCGAACGCUCGUAGCAAUACGGGAGUGGCGCACGGGUGAGUAACGCGUGGGCACCUGCCCGGUGGUCCGGAAUAACCGCGGGAAACUGCGGCUAAUACCGAAUACGCCCUUAGGGGGAAAGAUUUAUCGCCAUCGGAUGGGCCCGCGUAGGAUUAGCUAGUUGGUGAGGUAACGGCUCACCAAGGCGACGAUCCUUAGCUGGUCUGAGAGGAUGAUCAGCCACACUGGGACUGAGACACGGCCCAGACUCCUACGGGAGGCAGCAGUGGGGAAUAUUGGACAAUGGGGGCAACCCUGAUCCAGCCAUGCCGCGUGAGUGAUGAAGGCCUUCGGGUUGUAAAGCUCUUUUGGCGGGGACGAUGAUGACGGUACCCGCAGAAUAAGCCCCGGCUAACUUCGUGCCAGCCGCCGCAGUAAAAC